AUAAUGCUACUUCCGUCCAGUCACAGAAUCAAGCAAUGAGGGCGGCUUUGUGAGAACCACAAAGAGAUGAAAUUUCUAUGA
rnacentral:ncRNA from 1 species